UACGGAGGGUGCAAGCGUUGCUCGGAAUUAUUGGGCGUAAAGGGUAGGUAGGUGGUCUUAUUUGUCUGGGGUGAAAGCCUUGAGCUUAACUCAAGAAGUGCCCCAGAAACGGUGAGACUAGAGUCUUGGAGAGGGUCGUGGAAUUCCUGGUGUAGCGGUGAAAUGCGCAGAUAUCAGGAGGAACACCAACGGCGAAGGCAGCACUCUGGGCCGGUACUGACGCUGAGGAGCGAAAGCGUGGGGAGCAAACAGG
rnacentral:rRNA from 1 species